rnacentral:rRNA from 1 species
UGGGUUUGAUCCUGGCUCAGAUUGAACGCUGGCGGCAGGCUUAACACAUGCAAGUCGAGCGGAGAGAGGUAGCUUGCUACUGAUCUUAGCGGCGGACGGGUGAGUAAUGCUUAGGAAUCUGCCUAUUAGUGGGGGACAACAUUUCGAAAGGAAUGCUAAUACCGCAUACGUCCUACGGGAGAAAGCAGGGGAUCUUCGGACCUUGCGCUAAUAGAUGAGCCUAAGUCGGAUUAGCUAGUUGGUGGGGUAAAGGCCUACCAAGGCGACGAUCUGUAGCGGGUCUGAGAGGAUGAUCCGCCACACUGGGACUGAGACACGGCCCAGACUCCUACGGGAGGCAGCAGUGGGGAAUAUUGGACAAUGGGCGCAAGCCUGAUCCAGCCAUGCCGCGUGUGUGAAGAAGGCCUUAUGGUUGUAAAGCACUUUAAGCGAGGAGGAGGCUACUUUAGUUAAUACCUAGAGAUAGUGGACGUUACUCGCAGAAUAAGCACCGGCUAACUCUGUGCCAGCAGCCGCGGUAAUACAGAGGGUGCAAGCGUUAAUCGGAUUUACUGGGCGUAAAGCGCGCGUAGGCGGCUAAUUAAGUCAAAUGUGAAAUCCCCGAGCUUAACUUGGGAAUUGCAUUCGAUACUGGUUAGCUAGAGUGUGGGAGAGGAUGGUAGAAUUCCAGGUGUAGCGGUGAAAUGCGUAGAGAUCUGGAGGAAUACCGAUGGCGAAGGCAGCCAUCUGGCCUAACACUGACGCUGAGGUGCGAAAGCAUGGGGAGCAAACAGGAUUAGAUACCCUGGUAGUCCAUGCCGUAAACGAUGUCUACUAGCCGUUGGGGCCUUUGAGGCUUUAGUGGCGCAGCUAACGCGAUAAGUAGACCGCCUGGGGAGUACGGUCGCAAGACUAAAACUCAAAUGAAUUGACGGGGGCCCGCACAAGCGGUGGAGCAUGUGGUUUAAUUCGAUGCAACGCGAAGAACCUUACCUGGCCUUGACAUAGUAAGAACUUUCCAGAGAUGGAUUGGUGCCUUCGGGAACUUACAUACAGGUGCUGCAUGGCUGUCGUCAGCUCGUGUCGUGAGAUGUUGGGUUAAGUCCCGCAACGAGCGCAACCCUUUUCCUUAUUUGCCAGCGAGUAAUGUCGGGAACUUUAAGGAUACUGCCAGUGACAAACUGGAGGAAGGCGGGGACGACGUCAAGUCAUCAUGGCCCUUACGGCCAGGGCUACACACGUGCUACAAUGGUCGGUACAAAGGGUUGCUACCUAGCGAUAGGAUGCUAAUCUCAAAAAGCCGAUCGUAGUCCGGAUUGGAGUCUGCAACUCGACUCCAUGAAGUCGGAAUCGCUAGUAAUCGCGGAUCAGAAUGCCGCGGUGAAUACGUUCCCGGGCCUUGUACUCACCGCCCGUCACACCAUGGGAGUUUGUUGCACCAGAAGUAGCUAGCCUAACUGCAAAGAGGGCGGUUACCACGGUGUGGCCGAUGACUGGGGUGAAGUCGUAACAAGGUAGCC